CAGCCGCCGCGGGAAUACAGAGGGUGCGAGCGUUAAUCGGAUUUACUGGGCGUAAAGCGUGCGUAGGCGGCUUCUUAAGUCGGAUGUGAAAUCCCUGAGCUUAACUUAGGAAUUGCAUUCGAUACUGGGAAGCUAGAGUAUGGGAGAGGAUGGUAGAAUUCCAGGUGUAGCGGUGAAAUGCGUAGAGAUCUGAAGGAAUACCGAUGGCGAAGGCAGCCAUCUGGCCUAAUACUGACGCUGAGGUACGAAAGCAUGGGGAGCAAACAGGAUUAGAUACCCCCGUAGUCCCUGUCUCUUAUAC
rnacentral:rRNA from 1 species